UCAGAACUACUAUGUUAAUCCUCGGCUUAACAAGGUCUACACUGCUGACCAGUAUGGCUUGUCCCUUGUCGGUUCAUUUACACGCUUUGUUAAGGAUUUGUAUGGUUUGGGGGCCAGGAAACUUGGGGUAACUUCACUGCCCCCAUUAGGUUGCCUUCCUGCAGCAAUCACUUUGUUUGGAUUUCACAAGCCAGGAUGUGUGUCCGGGAUCAACGCUGAUGUGCAAAAAUUUAAUAAGAGGAUCGAUUCUGCAUCUAAAGCUCUUCAAAAGCAACUACCUGGUCUUAAGGUUGUCAUAUUUGACAUUUACAAACCUUUGUAUGACAUUGUCAACUCUCCCUCAAACUAUGGGUUUAAGGAAGCAAGGAGAGGUUGCUGUAGGACUGGGAGAGUAGGGGCAACAGUGUUCUUGUGCAAUCCAACGACACUUGCAGGAACAUGUCCAAAUGCCACUGAGU